GCCUCCGUAGCUCAGUGGAUAGAGCGACGGUUUCCUAAACCGCAGGUCGUAGGUUCGAUUCCUACCGGGGGCGCCA
rnacentral:tRNA from 1 species